ACAGAAGCUUAAUGGAUUGCCU
rnacentral:siRNA from 1 species